GUGCACGAGGCGGGUCCCUUAAGUGGCCGCUCUACUGGCUACGUCGUCUGAGGAAGUAUCCUUCUAAGGAUCGAAGCAAUUUGCGGUUUCCUCUCUCAAUAGGCAUAAGUUAAAGUAAGUGACGUCGGCGAGGCAGGGCCGUGGGGGGUCGCCGCGCGGGCCUCGGAGGUAGGGAGUCCUUCUCUGUCUUCCCACAGGCUGUACGGCUUCCACCGGUCUGGUGCCGUGCGGUCUGGUACUGCGUGCACAGAAGCCUGCUUUCUGCAGAGCAUAGAUAAUAAUGCAAGAAAUAGGACAAUGGCGUAAAACAUCGAACCCUAUUUUUGUGGUGAAAUUUGGAAUUUAUGGGGGCAUGUACCGUUCCAGGUAAUUAUUUUUUUUUACGUUUAACGCGGUCAAACUUGUAGAUGUUUUGAGAGGCCAAACAUCAAAAAAAUUGAAAAAUUAUAUUUAUAUAUAGAGAGAGGGAGAGAGAAAGAGAGAGA